CACACAACUCUCAGCAACGGAUAUCUUGGCUCUUGCAACGAUGAAGAACGCAGCGAAAUGCGAUACGUAGUGUGAAUUGCAGAAUUCCGCGAAUCAUCGAGUCUUUGAACGCAAGUUGCGCCCGAGGCUUGUCCGAGGGCAUUUCCGCUAGAGCGUCACC
rnacentral:rRNA from 1 species